rnacentral:rRNA from 1 species
CAGAUUGAACGCUGGCGGCAUGCCUAACACAUGCAAGUCGAACGGGAGUAGCAAUACUCUAGUGGCGGACGGGUGAGGAAUACGUAGGAAUUUGCCCUUAAGUGGGGGAUAACCCGGGGAAACCCGGAUUAAUACCGCAUGAUCUCGAAAGAGCAAAGUGGGGGAUCGCAAGACCUCACGCUUUUGGAGAAGCCUACGUCGGAUUAGCUAGUUGGUGAGGUAAUGGCUCACCAAGGCGACGAUCCGUAACUGGUCUGAGAGGAUGAUCAGUCACACCGGAACUGAGACACGGUCCGGAC